UUGCGGAAAACUGAAAAUUAAAAAAAAAAAUACAUUUUUAACAAAGGCUAUAGUCCAAGAAAUUUUCAAAUUUUGACAAUUCAAAAAAUGUUAAAUUUUGCAGCCAGAAAAAAAAUCAUGUCAUGAUAAUGCUAGUAAAAGCAAUAAAAAACUUUUUUCUUACAUAAAACGAUAAAAUUAAAGAGGAAAAAAAUUAAUUGUCGAAACCUCAAAAGUGCUAAAUUCGUUUCAAAUCAUCCAAUUUUUAGAAUCGAAUAGCAGUUUUAGGUUCGAUAUACCACGAAGAACUAUUUGAAGUAGUAAACGUUUAGAAAACAACCAGGCGAAAAAUCAGAAUAAGAGUUACAAUAAAUUCAAUGGCUAAAAUUAUGCAAAUUCUGUUGAAGACAGGGCGCAGAAAUCAAGUAUUCCAAUCUUAUAAGAACAUUUUUGACAUGUUAAUGGCUUAAUUUUUAAGUAAUAUAUAGGUCUUCUAUUAAUUUAAGAUAUUUUUUAUGUAAAUCCUUUAUCAAAAUCAAUAAAAAUUAGUUAAAACCCA